AUGGGAAUAAUCAGGGAGCAGAUAUGAAUGUGAAGGGAAAAGACCUUGUUUAUACAUAAAUACUCUAGCAAUUGCUAGGAAGAAAAAUGGAGAGGAAAAAAUCAACGCAAAGCUCCUUGGCAUGUGGAUUCAGCUACAAAGAAUUGUGAGGCUGGUUGUAAUCUCAGUUCUUUCCAUUUCCAAAUGGAUUUGGCAGUAUUUCUACCAUUCUCUUGGAAGACUAGAAUGCCUGGAAUAUUCGGGAUAUUAGGGUGGAGAGAGGCAUUGCAUAGACAGAUCUCUACAUGGCAGGAACUCUCUAAGAACCUCAAGAAAGUAAAUGAAUCAACAACAACACACUUUACACCCAUACAUACAUACAUAUAGCAUGCUUGGAAAAUAGGUGGUGCCAGGUAAUCAAAAAUUCCAGUUAAUGAAAACCUGCAAGGAUUUUUUUUUUAAUAACAGACUGAAUAAAUUUCCCCUGGAAGUUC